rnacentral:rRNA from 1 species
UACGAAGGGGGGCUAGCGUUGCUCGGAAUCACUGGGCGUAAAGCGCACGUAGGCGGAUUGUUAAGUCAGGGGUGAAAUCCUGGAGCUCAACUCCAGAACUGCCUUUGAUACUGGGGAUCUCGAGUCCGGAAGAGGUGAGUGGAACUCCGAGUGUAGAGGUGAAAUUCGUAGAUAUUCGGAAGAACACCAGUGGCGAAGGCGGCUCACUGGUCCGGUACUGACGCUGAGGUGCGAAAGCGUGGGGAGCAAACAGG